rnacentral:rRNA from 1 species
UACGGGGGGAGCAAGCGUUGUUCGGAUUUACUGGGCGUAAAGCGCGCGUAGGUGGCCUCAUAAGUCCGUUGUGAAAGUCAAAGGCUCAACCUUUGAAAGCCGAUGGAUACUGUGAGGCUAGAGUACGGAAGAGGCGAGUGGAAUUCCUGGUGUAGCGGUGGAAUGCGCAGAUAUCAGGAGGAACACCAAUAGCGAAGGCAGCUCGCUGGGACGUUACUGACACUGAGGCGCGAAAGCUAGGGGAGCAAACGGG